rnacentral:rRNA from 1 species
AAACCGGGAGAUAGCUGGUCUCCCCGAAAGCUAUUAGGUAGCGCCUCGUGAACUCAUCUUCGGGGGUAGAGCACUGUUUCGGCUAGGGGGUCAUCCCGACUUACCAACCCGAUGCAAACUACGAAUACCGAAGAAUGUUAUCACGGGAGACACACGGCGGGUGCUAACGUCCGUCGUGAAGAGGGAAACAACCCAGACCGCCAGCUAAGGUCCCAAAGUCAUGGUUAAGUGGGAAACGAUGUGGGAAGGCACAGACAGCCAGGAUGUUGGCUUAGAAGCAGCCAUCAUUUAAAGAAAGCGUAAUAGCUCACUGGUCGAGUCGGCCUGCGCGGAAGAUGUAACGGGGCUAAACCAUGCACCGAAGCUGCGGCAGCGACACUAUGUGUUGUUGGGUAGGGGAGCGUUCUGUAAGCCUGCGAAGGUGACCUGUGAGGGUUGCUGGAGGUAUCAGAAGUGCGAAUGCUGACAUAAGUAACGAUAAAGCGGGUGAAAAGCCCGCUCGCCGGAAGACCAAGGGUUCCUGUCCAACGUUAAUCGGGGCAGGGUGAGUCGACCCCUAAGGCGAGGCCGAAAGGCGUAGUCGAUGGGAAACAGGUUAAUAUUCCUGUACUUGGUGUUACUGCGAAGGGGGGACGGAGAAGGCUAUGUUAGCCGGGCGACGGUUGUCCCGGUUUAAGCAUGUAGGCUGGUUAUCCAGGCAAAUCCGGAUAAUCAAGGCUGAGGUGUGAUGACGAGGCACUACGGUGCUGAAGUAACAAAUGCCCUGCUUCCAGGAAAAGCCUCUAAGCAUCAGGUAACAUCAAAUCGUACCCCAAACCGACACAGGUGGUCAGGUAGAGAAUACCAAGGCGCUUGAGAGAACUCGGGUGAAGGAACUAGGCAAAAUGGUGCCGUAACUUCGGGAGAAGGCACGCUGGUGUGUAGGUGAAGCCCUGCGGGUGGAGCUGAGACCAGUCGAAGAUACCAGCUGGCUGCAACUGUUUAUUAAAAACACAGCACUGUGCAAACACGAAAGUGGACGUAUACGGUGUGACGCCUGCCCGGUGCCGGAAGGUUAAUUGAUGGGGUUAUCCGUAAGGAGAAGCUCUUGAUCGAAGCCCCGGUAAACGGCGGCCGUAACUAUAACGGUCCUAAGGUAGCGAAAUUCCUUGUCGGGUAAGUUCCGACCUGCACGAAUGGCGUAAUGAUGGCCAGGCUGUCUCCACCCGAGACUCAGUGAAAUUGAACUCGCUGUGAAGAUGCAGUGUACCCGCGGCAAGACGGAAAGACCCCGUGAACCUUUACUAUAGCUUGACACUGAACAUUGAGCCUUGAUGUGUAGGAUAGGUGGGAGGCUUUGAAGCGUGGACGCCAGUCUGCGUGGAGCCAACCUUGAAAUACCACCCUUUAAUGUUUGAUGUUCUAACGUUGGCCCCUUACCGGGGUUGCGGACAGUGUCUGGUGGGUAGUUUGACUGGGGCGGUCUCCUCCCAAAGCGUAACGGAGGAGCACGAAGGUUAGCUAAUCCUGGUCGGACAUCAGGAGGUUAGUGCAAUGGCAUAAGCUAGCUUGACUGCGAGCGUGACGGCGCGAGCAGGUGCGAAAGCAGGUCAUAGUGAUCCGGUGGUUCUGAAUGGAAGGGCCAUCGCUCAACGGAUAAAAGGUACUCCGGGGAUAACAGGCUGAUACCGCCCAAGAGUUCAUAUCGACGGCGGUGUUUGGCACCUCGAUGUCGGCUCAUCACAUCCUGGGGCUGAAGUAGGUCCCAAGGGGUAUGGCUGUUCGCCAUUUAAAGUGGUACGCGAGCUGGGUUUAGAAACGUCGUGAGAC